GGGGACGUAGUUCAGUUGGGAGAACGCUUCCCUUGCACGGAAGAGGUCAGGAGUUCGAGUCUCCUCGUCUCCA
rnacentral:tRNA from 1 species